rnacentral:lncRNA from 1 species
UUUUUUUUUUCCAAUGUCUGUUCCCGGGACAGAGCCUCCCAGUAGGCCUUGCACUGUGCUGCAUGUGGUCCCUGGAGUUUUACAGCCUCACUACAGACACAAAACAGAGUGGUUAACACAAGCAAUCCUGAAUUGCAUAAAUGUGCUGGAUGCCCAUGCUAGACUAAGAAAGUUCUUCGUAUUCAGGAGAAACACUGUGGCCCUGAGAGGCCAGGGAAGGCCACGUGGAAGAGGAGAGUCCAUGGGUGGGUAGGAUUUAGGACCAGGGGAGAAGAAUUGCAAGCAAGAGCUGGAAAUAUACAGUUGAGGCUGGGAAGAGCUCACACUGAGAAGUGGCAACACAUAAAGUUGGAAAAGUAGGUUGGAGCCAAAUUGCUCAGGAUUUUAAGUGCCAGAAGGAGGAAUUGGAGAAUGGAAGCUGGGAGACCAGGCAGGAAACAGCUGUUCUCCAGGAGAGAGAGAGCAAGGGUCUGUCCCAAAGUGGGAGCACAGGUAGGAAACAAUUGAGAGGCAUUUUGAAGGAUGAAGGCUCCUCUGUCUCCUGUGCCCAGGAGCCCUGCCCUCUGCUAGGCUCUGGGACUAGUAAUGCUGAUUAACUGAUCUGCCAGUGGAUGCAUUGGCCCUCCCUGAUGACCCGGCACCCUUCUUGGAGAAGAGUGGGACUCUGGCCCCCUAUCCCUCCAUGUUCAAUUGCCCACAUCACUCAACUCUUCCUGUCCACCACACUUACCCUCCCAAGUGUAUUUCCUCAUCUGCAAAAACAGCAUGAGAAAGCUCCUCCUUCCUAAGUUUAUUGUGAGGUUGAAUAAGGUCAUGCGUGGAAGAUGCAAAGCACAGGGCCUGGCGCUUGUAACCGCUCAGCAGAUGGGAACCGCCAGCAUAAAUAUUCUGCACCCUUGGUCAGCUGGGACCCAUUAUUGAGAGUGGCUAUUCUCGUCUCUCUCUAUGAAAUGUUAGACACUAGCAGACAGCUGAAGGUGAAAUCAAGCAAGUUUGAACUGUGGUCUCUCUCUGGGGCUCCUUGUCAGGUAAGUUGGACAUAAGCAACUUCCUAACAAAAGAGCCAGAAGUUGUUUCAUUCUGACAGUGAAGCAUGACUUCAUAGUUUCUUAUUCUAUAAGUUGUACAGACAGACUUUUCUUCCUUUUUGUGUUUAUGCCAUGAUGUCUUGGAGCCAAGCUAUAGCAGAGCCCCUGGAUAGGAAUUUAGGAUGCUUUUGGACCCCUUCCAUAGAGGUCAAGUCCUGGGAAUACUGGAAGGGCCUUCACACAAGAGCUCCCUCAUCCCAUCCCUGUAUGUCUUGGACAUAGAAAGAGAGGAGGAACUGACAUUUAACGACAAUGUGCUGUGGCUUUGACACGUGUCAUGUUAUGUAACCCUCACACCAGUCCUAUGAGAUAGGGAUUGUUAUCUGCACUGUUGUAAGUAAGGAAAUAGUCUUGAUUGAAGGGCCUUACCCAAACUCACACAUCUAGUCAUCACUGCAACCAACAUUCUGCCUCUUGGUGCCCCUCGCUGAAGCUCCUUAUUUCCUGCAUACUCUCCUCCUCCCAGGGCUGCUGAGGCCACAUGGUAAGCCUACUGCUGCUGUUCCUAUGAGUUUCCUUUUUCAAUGUGUUUUUUAGGAGACGAGGCCUCACUGUGUUGCACCACCUGGAGUGCCAUGGCUAUUCACAGGCACAAUUGUAGCUUACUACAGACAUGAACUCCUAGGCUCAAGUAAUCCUCUUGCCUCAGCCACUCGAGUGCAGGGACUACAGGUGUGUGCCACCAUGCCUGGCCUGUUACCAUGACUUUCCAAUUCAGCAAAUUUUCUGUAAUAGGAUGAUUGAGAGGUUUGUAGUUCCAUAAUGGUGGCUGGCUAUAAUGAUUACCUAUAACUAUAUAAUUGGGAAUAAACUGAAACAGGUGCAAACUCUAAUCAGCCCCAAAUAACAUCUUAAUGACAAGUAGAGGACAAAUUAAAUGGAAGCAAAGUCGUAGGACAGAGUACAGAAAAGCAUGGUGACAGGAGUUUCUUGUCUGUCUCUAAGGAAGUAGGAUGGGAUGGAGAGUCAAUUCAAUUUAGACAGAAGCUGAAGAUCAAACAACAGAACAUUUUAGCUUCUAUUUUAACUAUGUAUUUUACAGCUGGAUUCCAAAGAAGAUAAAUAAAUUAUAUUUGCACCUAUCAUCUUUUCAAAUAUCUUUGCCAACAAAGUCAUUCAAUAUAUUGAGUGUCCCUGUGGUCAAGAUCUUACACAUUUAAUGUAUGAAAGAGGAGAGACAAGGCCCUGCAGCAGAAAAUCUCACAAUUUGAGGGAGAAGAAAUGGGAGCAAGGAGUUGUUUAAGAAAGACAAAAUACAUACAAAGUAAUGUGUCCGCAAGUGGGAGCCAUGAUAGCUGUGGGUGUGGAGUUGCCACAUGAUGAUGUUCCAUGGCUGGCUGCCUGAUCAAGCGGAGCCUCAAAGGUCAUCUGUGGCUUGGUAGAGGCCUGGGUCCAGAUCGGGCCCUUAACUUUUAAGUUUCAGAAACCCCAUGUUGUAAUCAGCCCACACAACGUUGACCAGGCCUCAAGGAAUGGACUCUUGCCAACCAAACUCCCAUAGUAGACUGACGGGAAAACCAGCAUGCCAGUUGAAGUAAUGUACCAUCAGAGACACACCUUUCUAAUUACUAUGCAGGGGACCCCUUUCUGCUGUGUACCAGAAAAACUGAAUUAGCAUUUAGAAAACUACUUGUUAAACAGGAAUCAGGGUAAAAGAAGUCUUCAGGAGUGUGUGGCUCAGAUCGUUGGUACAGUCUGGAACAUUUUUGCCAUUCCCUGACACCCCUGGGGAAACACUAGCUAGAUUCUUACUCUUCACCUCUCUUCUUCUAGGCUCCUUACAGACUCUUUCAUGCCUUUAAUUAUCUUUACUUCUCAUCAAAUAACAUGACUUAUUACAACUUAC